GUGUGAUGGACUGCCUUUUGCAUAAUGAGCCUGCGAGUUGUGGUGUCUGGCAAGGUUAAGCAAACGCGAAGCCGUAGCGAAAGCGAGUCUGAAUAGGGCGCUUAGUCAGAUGCUGCAGACCCGAAACGAAGUGAUCUAUCCAUGAGCAAGUUGAAGCUAGUGUAAGAACUAGUGGAGGACUGAACCCAUAGGCGUUGAAAAGCCCCGGGAUGACUUGUGGAUAGGGGUGAAAGGCCAAUCAAACUUCGUGAUAGCUGGUUCUCUCCGAAAUAUAUUUAGGUAUAGCGUUGUGUCGUAAUAUAAGGGGGUAGAGCACUGAAUGGGCUAGGGCAUACACCAAUGUACCAAACCCUAUCAAACUCCGAAUACCUUAUAUGUAAUCACAGCAGUCAGGCGGCGAGUGAUAAAAUCCGUCGUCAAGAGGGAAACAACCCAGACUACCAGCUAAGGUCCCUAAAUCUUACUUAAGUGGAAAACGAUGUGAAGUUACUUAAACAACCAGGAGGUUGGCUUAGAAGCAGCCAUCCUUUAAAGAAAGCGUAAUAGCUCACUGGUCUAGUGAUUUUGCGCGGAAAAUAUAACGGGGCUAAAGUAAGUACCGAAGCUGUAGACUUAGUUUACUAAGUGGUAGGAGAGCGUUCUAUUUGCGUCGAAGGUAUACCGGUAAGGAGUGCUGGAGCGAAUAGAAGUGAGCAUGCAGGCAUGAGUAGCGAUAAUUAAUGUGAGAAUCAUUAACGCCGUAAACCCAAGGUUUCCUACGCGAUGCUCGUCAUCGUAGGGUUAGUCGGGUCCUAAGUCGAGUCCGAAAGGGGUAGACGAUGGCAAAUUGGUUAAUAUUCCAAUACCAACAUUAGUGUGCGAUGGAAGGACGCUUAGGGCUAAGGGGGCUAGCGGAUGGAAGUGCUAGUCUAAGGUCGUAGGAGGUUAUACAGGAAAAUCCGUAUAACAAUACUCCGAGAACUGAAAGGCUUUUUGAAGUCUUCGGAUGGAUAGAAGAACCCCUGAUGCCGUCGAGCCAAGAAAAGUUUCUAAGUUUAGCUAAUGUUGCCCGUACCGUAAACCGACACAGGUGGGUGGGAUGAGUAUUCUAAGGCGCGUGGAAGAACUCUCUUUAAGGAACUCUGCAAAAUAGCACCGUAUCUUCGGUAUAAGGUGUGGUUAGCUUCGUACUAGGAUUUACUCCGAAAGCGAAGAAACUUACAACAAAGAGUCCCUCCCGACUGUUUACCAAAAACACAGCACUCUGCUAACUCGUAAGAGGAUGUAUAGGGUGUGACGCCUGCCCGGUGCUCGAAGGUUAAUUGAUGGGGUUAGCAUUAGCGAAGCUCUUGAUCGAAGCCCGAGUAAACGGCGGCCGUAACUAUAACGGUCCUAAGGUAGCGAAAUUCCUUGUCGGUUAAAUACCGACCUGCAUGAAUGGCGUAACGAGAUGGGAGCUGUCUCAAAGAGGGAUCCAGUGAAAUUGUAGUGGAGGUGAAAAUUCCUCCUACCCGCGGCAAGACGGAAAGACCCCGUGGACCUUUACUACAGCUUGACACUGCUACUUGGAUAAGAAUGUGCAGGAUAGGUGGGAGGCUUUGAGUAUAUGACGCCAGUUGUAUAGGAGCCAUUGUUGAGAUACCACUCUUUCUUAUUUGGGUAGCUAACCAGCUUGAGUUAUCCUCAAGUGGGACAAUGUCUGGUGGGUAGUUUGACUGGGGCGGUCGCCUCCCAAAUAAUAACGGAGGCUUACAAAGGUUGGCUCAGAACGGUUGGAAAUCGUUCGUAGAGUAUAAAGGUAUAAGCCAGCUUAACUGCAAGACAUACAAGUCAAGCAGAGACGAAAGUCGGUCUUAGUGAUCCGGUGGUUCUGUGUGGAAGGGCCAUCGCUCAAAGGAUAAAAGGUACCCCGGGGAUAACAGGCUGAUCUCCCCCAAGAGCUCACAUCGACGGGGAGGUUUGGCACCUCGAUGUCGGCUCAUCGCAUCCUGGGGCUGGAGCAGGUCCCAAGGGUAUGGCUGUUCGCCAUUUAAAGCGGUACGCGAGCUGGGUUCAGAACGUCGUGAGACAGUUCGGUCCCUAUCUGCCGUGGGCGUAAGAAGAUUGAAGAGAUUUGACCCUAGUACGAGAGGACCGGGUUGAACAAACCACUGGUGUAGCUGUUGUUCUGCCAAGAGCAUCGCAGCGUAGCUAAGUUUGGAAAGGAUAAACGCUGAAAGCAUCUAAGCGUGAAGCCAACUCUAAGAUGAAUCUUCUCUAAGCUCUCUAGAAGACUACUAGUUUGAUAGGCUGGGUGUGUAAUGGAUGAAAGUCCUUUAGCUGACCAGUACUAAUAGAGCGUUUGGCUUAUCUUUAAUAAAGCAU
rnacentral:rRNA from 1 species